GAUGAACGCUAGCUACAGGCUUAACACAUGCAAGUCGAGGGGAAACGAUAUUGGAAGCUUGCUUCCGAUAGGCGUCGACCGGCGCACGGGUGAGUAACGCGUAUCCAACCUGCCCAUCACUUGGGGAUAACCUUGCGAAAGUAAGACUAAUACCCAAUGACGUCUCUAGAAGACAUCUGAAAGAGAUUAAAGAUUUAUCGGUGAUGGAUGGGGAUGCGUCUGAUUAGCUUGUUGGCGGGGUAACGGCCCACCAAGGCGACGAUCAGUAGGGGUUCUGAGAGGAAGGUCCCCCACAUUGGAACUGAGGCACGGUCCAAACUCCGACGGGAGGCAGCAGUGAGGAAUAUUGGUCAAUGGGCGAGAGCCUGAACCAGCCAAGUAGCGUGCAGGAUGACGGCCCUAUGGGUUGUAAACUGCUUUUAUAAGGGAAUAAAGUGAGAGUCGUGACUCUUUUUGCAUGUACCUUAUGAAUAAGGACCGGCUAAUUCCGUGCCAGCAGCCGCGGUAA
rnacentral:rRNA from 1 species